UACAGGGGGGGCAAGCGUUGUUCGGAAUUACUGGGCGUAAAGGGCUCGUAGGUGGCCAACUAAGUCGGACGUGAAAUCCCUCAGCUUAACUGGGGAACUGCAUCCGAUACUGGAUGGCUGGAGUUUGGGAGAGGGAUGCGGAAUUCCAGGUGUAGCGGUGAAAUGCGUAGAUAUCUGGAGGAACACCGGUGGCGAAGGCGGCAUUCUGGACCGACAUUGACGCUGAGGAGCGAAAGCCAGGGGAGCAAACGGG
rnacentral:rRNA from 1 species